UCCAUUCCUGGAGUCAUUGCAAUAGUAUUGGAGUAGGGCUGAAUUCUCGUGUGGUUUCCAUGUAUUCCUGAUACAACAUCUGAUUUUCUCCUUUUCUGAUUCUUGAUGGCUUACUGCAAGGAACCUUCUGUAUGCUGGGUGAUAUCACAGAAGCACGCAUUAUUCUUUUUUCCUCUCGUUUUUUCUAGCUGUAUUAUCAAAACUUAAAAGCAGACUCUCUGUUUGCCCAAAAAAAGAUAAAAUACUCAUAACGAAUAAACAGCGCGAGCAAAGAGUCUCUAAACAUGUCACAAAAUGACAGGAGAAUAAGUGGGUCGGAAGAGCCUGCAAUAAUCGGGCACGGUGACUCAGCCCUGAUGCAUGUUUCUUUGGUUCAGUUUACCAGGCGCAGAGUGCUCCAAGCGCUGUCAUUGCCGCGGGAGCCCCAGGUGAGGUGACAGCGUGAGUCACCUCUGCUGGGCACCAUCUGGGCUGUGAGGGAGCAGGGUAAGGAAAUAGAAAGAGGAGACCUCCCGUUCAGCUGCGACCUGGCAGCUGGGGAAGAAAACCUGACUCCCGAGUAUAAAAACUCAUGGUACCAUCUACAGCUAUGCUUUCUUCAAGAAGAAAAGCAAAAAUGAUAGUAAAAAGCAAUAGGAAAACCACUGAAUGCUCACCAUAAUGGUCAUCCAGAAAGAAAAAGAGGUGGCCAACCAGUCCGUCAAAUGCUAAAAUUUGUAAGAGCUAUUAAUAACAGCUGCAAAAUCAUCAAAUAUUUUUCCAUUGAUUUUAGGAGAAGCAGAGCAGUUCAGCUUGUCUAGAGAGCUGCUACCUUUGCUGAAUGACUUUUGAAGAUAGAAAAAGAUCUGUGCUCCCUCUGGCAUGGCUUGGGGAGUAGAGGGUGCGAUUAUGUUUUCUGUUAUUGCAUUAAAGU